ensembl:rRNA 5_8S_rRNA 5.8S ribosomal RNA
UACUCUUGGUGGUGGAUCACUUGGCUAGUGUGUUGAUGAAGGAUGCAGCUAGCUGCGAGAAUUAAUGUGAAUUGCAGGACACAUUGAUCAACGACACUUUGAACGCACGUUGUAUCCCCAGGUCUUUCCCAGGGCCACGUCUGUCUGAGGGUCA